rnacentral:rRNA from 1 species
UCUACGGGAGGCAGCAGUAGGGAAUCUUCGGCAAUGGGCGAAAGCCUGACCGAGCAACGCCGCGUGAGCGAUGAAGGCCUUCGGGUCGUAAAGCUCUGUUGUUAGAGAAGAACAAGUACGAUAGUAACUGCUCGUACCUUGACGGUACCUAACCAGAAAGCCACGGCUAACUACGUGCCAGCAGCCGCGGUAAUACGUAGGUGGCAAGCGUUAUCCGGAAUUAUUGGGCGUAAAGCGCGCGCAGGCGGUCUCUUAAGUCUGAUGUGAAAGCCCACGGCUCAACCGUGGAGGGUCAUUGGAAACUGGGAGACUUGAGUGCAGGAGAGAAAAGUGGAAUUCCACGUGUAGCGGUGAAAUGCGUAGAGAUGUGGAGGAACACCAGUGGCGAAGGCGGCUUUUUGGCCUGUAACUGACGCUGAGGCGCGAAAGCGUGGGGAGCAAACAGGAUUAGAUACCCUGGUAGUCCACGCCGUAAACGAUGAGUGCUAGGUGUUGGGGGGUUCCACCCUCAGUGCUGAAGUUAACACAUUAAGCACUCCGCCUGGGGAGUACGACCGCAAGGUUGAAACUCAAAGGAAUUGACGGA